AGAAACUAAGUAUUAGAAAAUUUAGAUUAUUAGCCAUCUAUGAAUAAGUUAGAAAAUAAAAAGAUAAAGUUAUAAAAGGAAUGAAAAUUGAAUGAUAGUCACAAGAGUGAGUGAAUGAGAAUGAAGAAUGGAAUUUGGAGGCACGUGAGAAUGGGGAAGUAGUCACGUGAGAAGGGGGGUGAGUGAGUAAUGAUGAGGUUUGGUGUCAGAAAGAGAGGAAUGACGUGAUAGAGGAGAGACAAGUCAUGGAAAAACAACAAUAAUAAUAAUUAUAUGUCACUGCACUUUCUUUCUCUUUCUCUUUCUCUUUCUCUCUGCUUCUGCAUGCUUGUAGUUACCUCUACUGUACUAUCUCCACUGCUCUCGACUGGCCACAACCAUUAAUCAUCUCCACCUAAUUAAUCAUCUUUAUCUCCUUUUCACUGCUUUCCUUUUCACUUUUCCUCUUUCCAUUUAU
rnacentral:lncRNA from 1 species